UAGAACUCGGCACGGUCGUUUUCGAGUAC
rnacentral:sRNA from 1 species